rnacentral:rRNA from 1 species
UACGUAGGUGGCAAGCGUUGUCCGGAUUUACUGGGCGUAAAGAGCGCGCAGGCGGUCGUUCAAGUCGCGUGUGAAAGCCCCCGGCUCAACUGGGGAGGGUCACGCGAUACUGAUCGACUGGAAGGCAGGAGAGGGUAGUGGAAUUCCCGGUGUAGUGGUGAAAUGCGUAGAUAUCGGGAGGAACACCCGUGGCGAAGGCGGCUCUCUGGGACGGUACUGACGCUGAGACGCGAAAGCGUGGGGAGCGAACAGG